rnacentral:rRNA from 1 species
CCCSGSGCCCGUCCCGCCGCCCCCGCCCGCCUACGGGAGGCAGCAGUGGGGAAUUUUGGACAAUGGGGGCAACCCUGAUCCAGCMAUGCCGCGUGAGUGAAGAAGGCCUUCGGGUUGUAAAGCUCUUUCAGCCGGGAAAGAAAAAUGCAUGGGUUAAAUACCCUGAGCAGAUGACGGAACAGRAKUUGGACAUGKSCCUUGCC